rnacentral:rRNA from 1 species
CCCCAGUAACGGCGAAGUGAAGCGGCAAGAGCUCAAAUUUGAAAGCUGGCUCCUUCGGGGUCCGCAUUGUAAUUUGCAGAGGAUGCUUCGGGAGCGGUCCCCAUCUAAGUGCCCUGGAACGGGACGUCAUAGAGGGUGAGAAUCCCGUAUGGGAUGGGGUGUCCGCGCCCGUGUGAAGCUCCUUCNACNAGUCGAGUUGUUUGGGAAUGCANCUCUAAAUGGGUGGUAAAUUUCAUCUAAAGCUAAAUAUUGGCCGGAGACCGAUAGCGCACAAGUAGAGUGAUCGAAAGAUGAAAAGCACUUUGAAAAGAGAGUUAAAAAGCACGUGAAAUUGUUGAAAGGGAAGCGCUUGCGACCAGACUCGCUCGCGGGGUUCAGCCGGCAUUCGUGCCGGUGUACUUCCCCGCGGGCGGGCCAGCGUCGGUUUGGGUGGUCGGUCAAAGGCCCUCGGAAGGUAACGCCCCCUCGGGGGCGUCUUAUAGCCGAGGGUGCAAUGCGACCUGCCUGGACCGAGGAACGCGCUUCGGCUCGGACGCUGGCAUAAUGGUCGUAAGCGACCCGUCUUGAAACACGGACCAAGGAGUCUAACAUCUACGCGAGUGUUCGGGUGUCAAACCCGUGCGCGCAGUGAAAGCGAACGGAGGUGGGAACCCUUUUGGGUGCACCAUCGACCGAUCCUGAUGUCUUCGGAUGGAUUUGAGUAAGAGCGUA